GGAAGAAGAGCCCUGCUCACUUGCAUGAUGUAAUGCUUUCUCCGGGACUCCAGAGAAAUCACUUGUCUCUAUUACAGACUGCAGUCACAUUAUAAGUGUCUGUUUAAUUACCUUUCCACUUAAAAUCAUGUGCAGUGUCUCUCCCUCCACCCUGGGCUCCUUUUCCUUCAGACUUCUCAGAAGGCAAACCUGGAGCCUGAGAAGGAGCAGGAAGACCCCACCAUGAUGGACUCCAAGUGUUAAAUCAUGGCCACAGCUAAACCCUCAGCUCAUUCAUGCUUCCACCUAAUAAAUCAGCUGUGUGUGAAAGGUUCAUCAGAUCCAUAUUAUGUGGCCUAAGCUGAUGUUAUAAACAACUUCAGUUUCUGUA